rnacentral:rRNA from 1 species
UACGAAGGGUGCAAGCGUUGUUCGGAAUUAUUGGGCGUAAAGGGUUUGUAGGCUGAAAGAUAAGUCAAGUGUGAAAUCCCCGAGCUAAACUUGGGACGUGCAUUUGAUACUGUUUUUCUUGAGUAUCGUAGAGGGUGGUGGAAUUGCAGGUGUAGAAGUGACAUCCACAGAUAUCUGCAGGAACAUCAGAGGCGAAGGCGACCACCUGGACGAAGACUGACGCUGAGAAACGAAAGCGUGGGGAGCAAACAGG